GCCCAAGUGGCGGAAUGGUAGACGCAGGGGAUUCAAAAUCCCCCGGUAGCAAUACCGUGAGAGUUCGAGUCUCUCCUUGGGCACCA
rnacentral:tRNA from 2 species